CCUACGGGUGGCUGCAGUAAGGAAUAUUGGUCAAUGGACGCAAGUCUGAACCAGCCAUGCCGCGUGGAGGAUGAAGGUCCUCUGGAUUGUAAACUUCUUUUAUUUGGGAAGAAACUCCCGAUUUCCAUCGGGAUUGACGGUCCCAGAUGAAUAAGCACCGGCUAACUCCGUGCCAGCAGCCGCGGUACUACGGCGGGUGCAAGCGUUAUCCGGAUUCACUGGGCUUAGGGGGGCAGGUAAUGGAGUGGUAAAAUCUCCGGGCUUAACCCGGAAACUGCCAUUGAUACUAUUUGUCUUGAAUACUCUGGAGGUGAGCGGAAUAUGUCAUGUAGCGGUGAAAUGCUUAGAUAUGACAUAGAACACCCAUUGCGAAGGCAGCUCACUACGGAAAUAUUGACGCUGAGGCACGAAAGCGUGGGGAUCAAACAGGAUUAGAUACCCCAGUAGUC
rnacentral:rRNA from 1 species